rnacentral:rRNA from 2 species
CUAGCUGGUCUGAGAGGAUGACCAGCCACACUGGAACUGAGACACGGUCCAGACUCCUACGGGAGGCAGCAGUGGGGAAUAUUGCACAAUGGGCGCAAGCCUGAUGCAGCCAUGCCGCGUGUAUGAAGAAGGCCUUCGGGUUGUAAAGUACUUUCAGCGGGGAGGAAGGGAGUAAAGUUAAUACCUUUGCUCAUUGACGUUACCCGCAGAAGAAGCACCGGCUAACUCCGUGCCAGCAGCCGCGGUAAUACGGAGGGUGCAAGCGUUAAUCGGAAUUACUGGGCGUAAAGCGCACGCAGGCGGUUUGUUAAGUCAGAUGUGAAAUCCCCGGGCUCAACCUGGGAACUGCAUCUGAUACUGGCAAGCUUGAGUCUCGUAGAGGGGGGUAGAAUUCCAGGUGUAGCGGUGAAAUGCGUAGAGAUCUGGAGGAAUACCGGUGGCGA